rnacentral:rRNA from 1 species
UCGCCUGUUUAUCAAAAACAUCGCCAUAAAAUCUAUUUGGUAAAAUCUGCCCAGUGAAAAUAUUUAACGGCCGCAGUAUCCUAACUGUGCUAAGGUAGCAUAAUCAUUAGCUUUUUAAUUGAAUGCUCGUAUGAAAGAUCCGACGAGGGAUAAACUUUCUCAAUAUUACUAAGAAAUUAAAUAGGAAGUCAAAAUUCUUCUUUCAUCUAAAGGGACGACAAGACCCUAUAAAACUUUACUUAAACCCUACAUGCUUUUUUAGACAUCUAUUUAGUAGAAUAAAGUUAAAUUGGGGCGAUUAGCUUAAUUAAAAACAAACUUCAAUUUAACUUAAUUUAAGAGCUUAAUAAACAUCCUUAUUUAAUAUAGAACAAGUUACUUUAGGGAUAACAGAGUAAUACUCCUAGAGAGCCCUUAUCGGCAGGAGUGUUUACUACCUCGAUGUUGAAUUGAAAUCUCAUAAUGAAGCAGUCUUUAUUAAUGUAAGUCUGUUCGACUUUUAAAAUUUUACAUGAUUUGAGUCCCAACCCGGA